UACGGAGGGUGCAAGCGUUAUCCGGAUUCACUGGGUUUAAAGGGUGCGUAGGUGGGCAGGUAAGUCAGUGGUGAAAUCUCCGGGCUUAACCCGGAAACUGCCAUUGAUACUAUCUGUCUUGAAUACCGUGGAGGUGAGCGGAAUAUGUCAUGUAGCGGUGAAAUACUUAGAUAUGACAUAGAACACCAAUUGCGAAGGCAGCUCACUACACGAAUAUUGACACUGAGGCACGAAAGCGUGGGGAUCAAACAGG
rnacentral:rRNA from 1 species